rnacentral:lncRNA from 1 species
GAUGAUCCAACACAAUGACAGUUUGAGAAACAAGAAAUAACAUAUAAUGGCUUCUCUUUCUCAGUUUCUUAAGCCUACAUACAUUUAGCAUUGUGUUACUUUCCAAAAGCACACAGCACAAGACACAAAUUUCUAAUCUGGACACAACAGUUAAUAGAAAUCAUCUUUUCAAUGACUCAAGAGCAACAUCAUAAAGUUGAUUUUUCCUGUAGCUAAUUAGACUAGCACACAAGCACAACAACCACAAACUGAAAUACAGAUAGCAUAUUAAACGUAUUGAAGAGAGGCAUUCGACUCCUCAUGGGUGUCCUGGUUCAGCAAGUGUAUACCUGCACCAUAAUGAUGAAGCAAAUCAGUACCAAAAACCUGAAUCAUCCAUCAUGUCACACUUGACAAGACGUCAUGUAACUUGUCUAGACAAGUAUGUAAUUACCUUGGAAAUAGUCUAAGCAGAAUUGCACGGCUCCAUAGGUCGUCUAGAUGCAAGUGGAACGGUCAAGUUUUGAGUGGCAACAAACACUGUUGGCUGCAAUUAUUCUCCAGCAUCCAAGUCACGAGUCAGAAAAUGAACAAGGUCGGAGGAAACAUCAUCUCUCACAAAUAUAAUUGCUCAAUCAUUCACUAGUUUGAUUUGGUCACAACUAGUGAACCUGCCAUAACUGGAACUGAAACUUUUAAUGCUGUAUAUGCCAACCAUAUACCAAAUCUGCACAAGAUCAAUGUAGUUGGCUACCAUGUAAUUCGUUGGACUGAAGGAACAAAUACUGAAAUAAAAACAUUAAACACAGCAUGCACGCAAUCACACCAUGAAAGCCUAUCCUAUCCUUCCACAAGCGUGGUAUACUGUAUUGACUAGUGAAUAAGACAACGAUUGAGAAGUCUAAUACUACGGUAAAUUGCUGAUUUGGUUAACUGAACCAGCCAUAUUAUUGCCAACUCUAUUAAAAUCUGGAAUACCAAGACAUACAGUUUUUCCCUGUUCAGUCAAUACAUGCAGUAGCAGCAUUGUCCAAUCCUCGCCAAGUUGCUGAUUGGACUGGUGUACGAGCUAGCUUGCUAGGAUAGGAUAGGAGGAAAGAAAGAAAGAAAGUUCCUCCUCUAGUCUCCUCUCUGAACCGAAGAAAGGAAGUUUCGGUUUUCUUGUUUUAGUUUACAUGUACGCGAUGUGCAGUGAGAAAAUUGGACGAGAGAGAUGGAGAAAGAGCAAAAAGAUACCUUCCAUGGCGUCAGCCAGCACUAGGGGUCGGAGCUGCUGGAGAGCGGUGGGAUAAUCGUGAUAACAGGAGGACUAAACGUCGUUCCUACAGAGCCAAUAAAACAUGAUAGUGGGUGCUGAGUCCAUCGCACAGAAGAUCAUAUUGACACUGCAUAAUCCAAUGACUAGCUAGCAGCAGAUGUGGUACCUGCAAGAAGCCAUUGAGGAUCGAAUCUUAUGCAAAGUUUUGGUUCCAAUGCACAUAAUUUCCUGUUUGAAUCUGCGACAAUUGUGCCCCUUUUUUCUCACAAGAUACAACUGACAGUGCUAUUUUGGCACUUUAUGCAUUCUACUCACUGAUAUGAAUCUGUUUUGCUGUGUAGCACCAUAAUCAGGGUAUAUGAACUGAGAUACUAUAUGUUACAUAUAUAGGCAAGUGAGCACUGCUGGUAGCAGCAGCAUAUUUUGGUACCGCUAGUAUGAAGCAGUAGUACCUUCUCUUGGACUGCAGCAACAGUUGCAACCAUGUGAUAUUUAUACAGCAUGCCAUUGUCUAAACAAUGAAACUGAAUAGCUGCAACUACUUCCUGUAUGAAACAAUGAAAUAAAUGAGCUUGGUUUUGUGCACUUUCUUAAAAUGUUCAGGUUGAUGUGCUUUAAAUUUUAAAAUUCUGGUAGAUGAAACAACAGAGUUUGACUUAGUUGCACAAAUAUUAAACACUAGAUUUUUAACUCCGCUUGUCUUAGGCUGUGUACAAUGCAAGAUGCUUAGAGAGGUGCUUGUAAAAACAAACCUGUUUAAGCUUAAGCAAUAAGCAUCGGUGCUUGUUUCUAAAGCAGAGGUGUCUGAUUAAGAAUUUGUGCUACACAAAUAAGCACUGGUGCUUAAGGAAAAAAACAGUUUGUUUUCACAAGCACCACUCUAAGAACCUCGCAUCUUAUAUGGCCUUAGGAGUAACAGUAAAAGUUUGAAGCCUAGAUGGGCACUCUUCCAUGUCCAAGCUUUUUAAAUAAUCUUCAUAGUUAAGGGCAAGACAGCAGGUCUAGUAUAGGAAGGGCGAAUAAGAGUGAGUAAUAUUCCUAGUUUCAGUGUCAUUAAUCUAGAGAUCUUUUAUGCAAGCAUGGAGAGGAAGUGUCUGGCAUGAUGAGAUUGUCAUAUAUAGACUGCCAGUUUGCACACCAAGGACCACUCCAAAUACUAGCAUUGCCAUUACGGAUUUGAAUAGAGCAGAUUUAGGGGUAUUACCAUUGCAUAUGCAGAAGGAAGUGUCUGGGAAAUAGUUAGCCUUCAUAUGCAGAAGGAAGUGUCUGGGAAAUAGUUAGCCUUCAACUUUUUUAUUGUUGUGGUGUCUUGUUUGAAGACAAUUCUCCAUGCUGCUGCAGUUAAAAGAAAGAGAUUAACAGCCAUGUGAUCCCUAACACCAAGGCCUCCAACUUGGGAUUAAAUAUCUAUGAGAUGAUUAUAGACAGUAAGAAAAAACAGAAGCCAUCAAAGACAAGAACACUUGAUUGUUUACUUCUAGUUUAUUUCUUUUGCUUGGUUCUGUGCAUUUCUUUAGGUGUUUAGGUUGAAGAUAUGUUCCAAAUUUUAAUUCUGGUAGAUGAAACAACACAUUUUAAUUUACUUGCACAGAUAUGCUUCACGAGUAUUUGGUGCUACAUCAACUCGCCAAUCUGAAGCAAACAUUUAUGAGAUACAGGAAGGAAAAUCAGAAGUAUCAAAUACUUGGCACUUGUUAGUUUAGUUUAGUUUUAUUUUGCUUAGUUCUGUGCAUUUCUUAACUGUUUAUGUUGAUGUGCUUUAUAAAAUUCUAGUAGAUGAAGCACCAGAUAUGAACUUAGUUGCACAAAUAUUAAAGACCAGAUUUGAACUUAACUUGUCUUAGACCAUGUACAAUGCAAGAUGUUAGAGAGGUGGUUGUAAAAAUAAACCUGUUUUCAAUUAAGCACUGGUGCUUGUUUCUGUAGCAGAGGUGCCUAAUUAAGCAUCUGUGCUGUACAAACAAGCGCUGGUGCUUAAGAAAAAACAUUUUGUUUUCAGAAGAACCUCUCUAAGCACCUUCCAUUUUAUAUGGCCGUGCGAGUCUAAAAGUAAAAGUUUGAAGCCUGGGUGGGCACUCUCUGCCCAAGCUUCUUAAAUAAUCUUCAUAAUUAUGGGGAAGACAGCAUGUCUAAUAUAGGAAAUGUGGAUAAUAGUGGGUUGUAUAAAGAUUUCAUGAGCACUUUUAUUAGGAAAAAAACGCAACUACUAGUGUACUUCCAGAUUACUGACCGUCCUGAUUGCAAUAACUCAUAGGAGUUGAGAGAAUUCCAUUACAGAAACUAGGAGAAAACAAAGUGUUAAUAAGAUUAAUAUUCCAAGUUUCAGUGUCAUGAAUCUAGAUAUCUUUUAUGCAAGGAAGUGUCAAUGGGAUUGCCAUAUAUAGAUUGACAGUUUGCAAACCAAGGACCACUAGAAAUACUAGAAUUGCCAUUGAAUAUUUGAAUAGAGCAGCAUUAGACAAAUUAUCCUUGAUUUUAAGAAUUGAAGGCCAGAAAACAGAUUUAGGGAUAUUACCAUUGCAUCUCCAGAAGGAAGUGUCAGGGAAAUAGUUGGCCUUCAAAUUUUUUACUGCUGUUGUAUCUUGUUGGGGGACAAUUCUCCAUGCUCUGCUGCAGUUAAAAGAGAGAGAUUAACAGCCGUAUGGUCCUAACACCAAGGCCUCCAUCUUGGGAGUAAAUAAUAUCUGGGCGAUGAUUACAAGAAGAAAAAUCAGAAGCCAUCAAAGACAGGACAAGACUUAACUUAAUUGUUUAAUUAUAGUUCCAUUUCUUUUGCUUAGCGCCGCCCGAUCGCAUUUCCCCUGAGUUAAAAGAAGAGAGCGCACGGAGAUGAGCGUCCUCUGCUGCGUCGGCGCAACAGCAGCCACCCCACCCUGGCGGCGUCUGCGCUCCUUGGCGGGAUAAACACAUGGAGCAGAGCAGUGGUAGCAGCGGCAAGGACGGGUCGGAGCUGCAGGAGACCACAAGCUUUGCACUUUGACCUUGGAACAAAACAAAUGGAAUGGCACGGUUAAGAGAGGAUGACAAGCAUUCACCACCGUAGACAAAUCCAUCACUUGCAAUGAAUCAAACAGAAGCGUUGCAUCAAGCCCGUGCUUUAUUCAACAGAAGAGAAUGACGCAAGUGUCCAGCCUGGCAUGACCCUAGCGAUUUACCUACUGUUUCCUAACCGACGACGCCGAAUACAGAGGACAAGAACAGAGUCUGGCUGUUUCUAAUGUGUGCAGACCCACGCGUGCGUGCACCUGCGUGCGUACGGGAGGAAGAAGUCGGGAAUUAAAUCUCGACCUUGAUAGAAAUGAAAUGUAAGAUACAUUAAUUCCUUGAUAGGAAUGUGUGAUUACUUCUGUGAAGAGGAGAAGCUCCAGAGCACAACUGAUACGAUCUCUCUCCUGGUGCCCUCCGAACCACCCUCCACUGCACAAGCAAGAUAUAAGAUAUUAAAGAUUUCACAAAUACUCAAAUAUGGAAUUUUGGAUAAAGUCUAAAGCUAUUGUAACUUCUCAAGCAGGAUUGUUCCAUGAGAUUCAGUUAGAGGAAUACACCAUACAUGCCCAGAGAAAUAAGUUAUCAGAAAGUUUGACAGUAUUAUCACUAGCUAUGUCAACAAUAUAUGGUGCAGAAGGCUUACAUAUUUCUAUUUUAGCGCCACAAAUAUUCACGGUCGCCGUGGGUCGCCAUGGCUGGCUAGGGUUUCCAGCGCGAGGAGGGAGGGGCGCUGCUGGAGUGGAUACGCGGCCAUGGAGAGAAGGCGAGCGGAGGGGUCGCCGGGGUUGCGGGCGGCGGCUGGGGUUGGGUGACGAUGGGAGCAGAGGUGGAGGUCGAAAACAGAGACAAGUUUGUGGCGUCGGGAUGUUUUCGUUUUUGUUUCACGAAUUGAAUGAAAAUUAUGGUUGGGUGCUCC